UACAGAGGUCUCAAGCGUUGUUCGGAUUCAUUGGGCAUAAAGGGUGCGUAGGCGGCGCGGUAAGUCGGGUGUGAAAUCUUGGAGCUUAACUCCGAAACUGCAUUCGAUACUGCCGUGCUUGAGGACUGGAGAGGAGACUGGAAUUUACGGUGUAGCGGUGAAAUGCGUAGAUAUCGUAAGGAAGACCAGUGGCGAAGGCGGCCCCCUGGACCGGUACUGACGCUGAGGCGCGAAAGCGUGGGGAGCAAACAGG
rnacentral:rRNA from 1 species